CGCGCAGGCGGUCCUUUAAGUCUGAUGUGAAAGCCCACGGCUCAACCGUGGAGGGUCAUUGGAAACUGGGGGACUUGAGUGCAGAAGAGGAAAGCGGAAUUCCACGUGUAGCGGUGAAAUGCGUAGAGAUGUGGAGGAACACCAGUGGCGAAGGCGGCUUUCUGGUCUGUAACUGACGCUGAGGCGCGAAAGCGUGGGGAGCAAACA
rnacentral:rRNA from 1 species